GCCUAGUUAGCUUAGUUGGUAGUGCGUCUGCCUCGUAAGCGCUAGGCCGCGGGUUCGAUUCCCGCCCCGGGGCG
rfam:Asian citrus Psyllid, Diaphorina citri - Florida Strain, whole genome shotgun sequence.